UAAUAAAAUGAAAUAUUAAUAUUUUUUCACCUAAAAUAUUCUAAAAUAAAAUUUUCGCCAAAAAUUUUCCCGCCAAAAAAAUUUCGAAAAACAAAUUCCCGCCAAAAAAUUUCCCGCCAAAUUUUGUUUUCAAAAAUAUUUUUCCCGCCAAUUUUUUAUUUUUUGGCGGUAAAUAGAUUUACAAGAGAUUUUAUAAGAUUUACAAGGGAUUUUAAAAGGUUUUUAAAAGAUUUAUAAGGGAUUUUAAAAGGGUUUUAAAAGAUUUACAAGAGAUUUUAAAAGGAUUUAAAAGAUUUGCAAAGGUCUUUUAAAGAUUUUUAAAGGGUUUAAAAUUGUUUUAAAAGAAUUUUAAAAUAUUUACAAGAGAUUUUAAAAGGGUUUUACAAUAUUUAUAAGGAAUUUUAAAGGAUUUUAAAAGAUUUACAAAGAAUUUGUAAAGAUUUUUAAAGGGUUUAAAAGUGUUUUGAAAGAUUUACAAGGGAUUUUAAAACCCUUUUAAAAUCUCUUGUAAAUUUUUUAAAAUCCUUUUAAAAUCUCUUGUAAAUCUUUUAAAACUCUUUUAAAAUCUCUUAUAAAUCUUUUAAAACCCUUGUAAAUCUAUUUGCCGCCAAAAAAUAUUUACAAAGAUUUUU
rnacentral:sRNA from 1 species